UACGGAGGAUGCGAGCGUUAUCCGGAUUUAUUGGGUUUAAAGGGUGCGCAGGCGGACUCUCAAGUCAGCGGUCAAAUCGCGGGGCUCAACCCCGUUCCGCCGUUGAAACUGGUGGUCUUGAGUGGAUGAGAAGUACGCGGAAUGCGUGGUGUAGCGGUGAAAUGCAUAGAUAUCACGCAGAACUCCGAUUGCGAAGGCAGCGUACCGGCGCGCAACUGACGCUCAUGCACGAAAGCGUGGGUAUCGAACAGG
rnacentral:rRNA from 1 species